rnacentral:rRNA from 1 species
GGACCCGCACAAGCGGUGGAUGAUGUGGAUUAAUUCGAUGCAACGCGAAAAACCUUACCUACCCUUGACAUGUCCAGAAGCCCGAAGAGAUUUGGGUGUGCCCGAAAGGGAGCUGGAACACAGGUGCUGCAUGGCUGUCGUCAGCUCGUGUCGUGAGAUGUUGGGUUAAGUCCCGCAACGAGCGCAACCCUUGUCGUUAAUUGCCAUCAUUUAGUUGGGCACUUUAACGAGACUGCCGGUGACAAACCGGAGGAAGGUGGGGAUGACGUCAAGUCCUCAUGGCCCUUAUGGGUAGGGCUUCACACGUCAUACAAUGGUCGGUACAGAGGGUUGCCAAGCCGCGAGGUGGAGCCAAUCCCAGAAAGCCGAUCGUAGUCCGGAUUGCAGGCUGCAACUCGCCUGCAUGAAGUCGGAAUCGCUAGUAAUCGCGGAUCAGCAUGUCGCGGUGAAUACGUUCCCGGGUCUUGUACACACCGCCCGUCACACCAUGGGAGCGGGUUCCGCCAGAAGUAGGUAGCCUAACCGCAAGGGGGGCGCUUACCACGGCGGGGUUCGUGACUGGGGUGAAGUCGUAACAAGGUAGCCGUAGGGGAACCUGCGGCU